AGCUACUGGAAGUGGCCAUCAAUUUACUUCCCUGGAGUUUGAAACUUUUCUAGCAGAGAGGAACAUUUUACACAGAAGGUCAUCCCUAUAUUACCCUCAAACCAAUGGGGAAAUUG